rnacentral:snRNA from 1 species
AUCGCUUCUCGGCCUUUGGCUAAGAUCAAGUGUAGUAUCUGUUCUUAUCAGUUUAAUAUCUGAUACGUCCCCUACCCGGGGACCAUAUAUUAAAUAGAUUUUUGGAACAGGGAGAUGGAAUAGGGGCUUGCUCCGUCCACUCCACGCAUCGACCUGGUAUUGCAGUAUCUCCAGGAACGGUGCACUCCCU